GGGAGGCCGUGGGACGGCCUGCACCGAACUUCAAAACCGUCUGCGGGGCGGUAGUCCCGUCCCGGGUGGGUUCGACUCCCAUGCACUCCCGCCA
rnacentral:tRNA from 1 species